rnacentral:lncRNA from 11 species
UCAGGUUUCACUGAAUGCAUUACUUGCAAAGGGCAAGUUAGGAAACAGAAUACUUUGUGAGAGCAAGUUAGGUUUUUCUGCCUCAGGCAGAGCUUGGAAAACUCACUUUAAAAAACUAUUAUGCUCCAGCCAGUGUGUAGAAUGAUGGAACUUGUAGUCCAGAGAGGUAACUUCUUCAGUCUCUGCUUUCAGGCCUUACCUAUCAUAACACGAAUCCCUUCUGGAGUGGCCUACUCUGUACAUACAACCGCUUUCAGGACUAGAGUGUUUUGUCCAUUUCUUUUGCACCAUUUAAGGGAGGCAAACAACCCAGUGAAAAUUCCUUUAAUAGCUGGGCACACCUUUGGUCUUGUCUCUAUUAGUGAACCAUUUCAUCGCACUGAAAGUUGAAUAUUGUUUAAAUCUCCCCAACAUUCUCAAAAAUAACCUGGU